GACUGGAGACAAGCAUAGACUCAGAUUAUCACCAGACAGCUUCAAGGAAAUAAGGCUGACUUUAUGAAGCCAAUGAAGCCCUUUGAAAAUGUUGGCCAGGUACCUCGUUUACAGAGUUCCCAGCAGCCUUACCAGGUGAAUUCUUGUACUGCCAGCACUGCCAACUGGAAUGCAUCGUCCUUGUGUGGCUUAAACAACAACUACUUAUUUUUCACAGUUCUGGAGGCUGGAUGUCCAAGAUCAAGGUGAUGGCAGAUUCCACUUCUGAUAAGUAGAAUCUUAAAAAAAAAAAAAAAAAAAAAAGAAGAAGAAGAAGAAGAAGAAGAAUUCAAAACAGGCUCAAACAAAUCCUUGUCAUGAAUGUUCACAUCAGCAUGACUCACAAUAGCCAAACAGAUGAAGACGACUCAAAUGUCCACCAACAGAUGACGGGAUCAACAAAUCAUGAUAGGUACACCCAACGGACUAUGACUCCACAAAAAAUGAAAUAAAAUCCAAAAAGAAGCUACCACGUGGAUGAAUCUUGAAAAUGUCAUGCUAGGAGAACGAAGUCAAACAAAAAGAUAAUAUACUAUAUGAUUUCAUUUAGUGUGUGAAAUACUUAGAAUGGGCAAAUCCUUAGAAACAAAGGAGAUCGCUAAUUGCCAGAAACAAGGGUUUUGGGGGAAAUGAGGGAUAAUUGCUUAAUGGGGAUAGGAUUUUAUUUUGUAGUAAUGGGAAUGUUUUGGGGAGUACAUAGAAGUGGUGGUUGCAAAAUAUUGUGAAUUACUAAAUGCCCUCAAUUGUUCUCUUGAAAUGAGUUAAUUCUACGUUAUCUGAAUUUCAUCUCAAAUUUUAAAAUUCUACAGUGAACAUCAUGCUUGAUGAUGAAUGUUAAAAGCAUUCUACCAAGAUUGGAAGAGAGAUGCCCAUUACCACAGUUCUAUUUAACACUGUGUUAGAGGUCUUAGCCAGGGCAAUAGUUAUAAAGAAGAAAAGUGGGGUGCCGGGAGGGCACCUGACUCUUGGUUUUGGCUCCAGAAGUCAUGCUGUCAAGGCUGUGAGAUCAAACUUACAUAGGGCUCUCUGCUGGGCAUGAAGCCUGCUUAAGAUUCUCUUGCUCUCCCUCUGCCCCUCUCCUACUUGCCCUUCUGCAGGCUCUCUCUUUCUCUGAAAAAAAGAAGAAGAAGGAGGGGGAGGAGGGGUAAGAAAUCAAGGGAAAGAAGAAAAAGAAGGAGUGGGGGAGGAGGUGGUGUGGAGAAAGGGAAGGGAGAAGUAGAACACACAAGGAUCACUAAGGAAGAAAUAAAAACUGUCAUAGCGCAUAGCUGGCAGUAUUAGACCUAGAAGAUCUGAAUGAAUCUACAGAUAAAUGUUACAAUCCGUAAGUGAAUUUAGAAACAGGGCCAAAAAUUUCUUAAAUCCAUUGUAUUUCCAACUCGUUAGAAAUUGAAGAAGUCCAAUACCAUAUACAGUACCAUCGAUGACAACCAAACUGCAGAAACUUUAGGCAGAAAAAUGACAUCUUAUUGAGGAAUAUUAAAGAAGGCUUACAAAAAUGAACAGGUAUCUUAGGUUCACAGACGUUAAUUUCAGACACAGAUUGAACUCCUUUCUGAUAUUAGAAUUCAGAACAGCGGUCCUCUGAGGAAAGAAAAAUGGUUGACGGGGGCACAAGGGGCGCUCUGGGGUCUCUUCUGGUAAUUUGUCUGAAUGGCAGUUACAGGAGUAUGCUCACUUUGUGAAAAUUCAUCAAGGUGCACAUUUUUUUGCGUUUGUGUUCAAUAAAUUUGUGUAUUUUUGAGUGAGUGUAGCUCACACACUAAUCUUCAGUAAGUAUCAAUAGAGAUGCACAAAAAUCCCCCAGGGGCGCCUGGGUGGCUCAGUCAGUUAAGCAUCUGCCUUCGGCUCAUGUCAUGAUCCCAGGGUCCUGGGAUGGAGCCCACAUCAGGCUCCCUGCUCAGUGGGGAGCCUACUUCUUCCUCUCCCUCUGCCGCUCCCAUUGUUUGUGCUCUCUCUGUGAAACACCUAAAUAAAAUCUUUUAAAAAACAAAAACAA